rnacentral:rRNA from 1 species
GACGUAGGGGCCGAGCGUUGUCCGGAGUUACUGGGCGUAAAGGGCGCGCAGGCGGUCCGCUGCAUCGGUGGUGAAAGCCCUCGGCUUAACCGAGGAAGUGCUUUCCAAACUACUGGGCUUGAAUACUGGAGAGGGUCGCGGAAUUCCCGGUGUAGAGGUGAAAUUCGUAGAUAUCGGGAGGAACACCAGUGGCGAAGGCGGCGACCUGGACAGAUAUUGACGCUGAAAACCGAAAGCUAGGGGAGCAAACGGG